UGAUUUGGCCUAAUCCCCACUGGUCAGCCUGUGGCCUUCUGAGUUUCACCUCAGGACCAGAUCACUCUAGAAGCCUUACCCAGAGAAGUGAGCAGAGCUUCAGUAGGAUUGUGCCAGAGGUGCUUCUAGAUCUCA
ensembl:snoRNA